GGACGAACGCUGGCGGCAGGCCUAACACAUGCAAGUCGAACGAGAAAGGGGCUUCGGCCCUGAGUAGAGUGGCGCACGGGUGAGUAACGCGUGGGAACGUACCCUUCAGUAAGGAAUAACAGCGGGAAACUGCUGCUAAUACCUUAUAUUCCCUCCGGGGGAAAGAUUUAUCGCUGAAGGAUCGGCCCGCGUUAGAUUAGCUAGUUGGUGAGGUAAUGGCUCGCCAAGGCUACGAUCUAUAGCUGGUCUGAGAGGACGACCAGCCACACUGGAACUGAGACACGGUCCAGACUCCUACGGGAGGCAGCAGUGGGGAAUCUUGGACAAUGGGCGCAAGCCUGAUCCAGCCACGCCGCGUGAGUGAAGAAGGUCUUCGGAUCGUAAAACUCUGUCCUUGGUGAAGAUAAUGACGGUAACCAAGGAGGAAGCCCCGGCUAACUACGUGCCAGCAGCCGCGGUAAUACGUAGGGGGCUAGCGUUGUCCGGAUUUACUGGGCGUAAAGGGUGAGUAGGCGGUUAUGUAUGUCAGAUGUAAAAGGCGCGGGCUUAACUUGCGUUAGCAUUUGAAACUGCAUAACUUGAGUGCAGGAGAGGUAAGCGGAAUUCCUAGUGUAGCGGUGAAAUGCGUAGAUAUUAGGAGGAACACCGGUGGCGAAGGCGGCUUACUGGACUGUAACUGACGCUGAGUCACGAAAGCGUGGGUAGCAAACAGGAUUAGAUACCCUGGUAGUCCACGCUGUAAACGAUGAGUGCUAGGUGUUGGGUAGCGAUACUCAGUGCCGGAGUAAACACAAUAAGCACUCCGCCUGGGGAGUACGGUCGCAAGACUGAAACUCAAAGGAAUUGACGGGGACCCGCACAAGCAGCGGAGCAUGUGGUUUAAUUCGAAGCAACGCGAAGAACCUUACCAAGGCUUGACAUCCCCUUGACAGAUGCAGAGAUGUGUCCUCUCCUUCGGGAGCAAGGGAGACAGGUGGUGCAUGGUUGUCGUCAGCUCGUGUCGUGAGAUGUUGGGUUAAGUCCCGCAACGAGCGCAACCCUUAUCCUUAGUUGCCAGCAAUAAGAUGGGCACUCUAAGGAGACUGCCGGUGAUAAACCGGAGGAAGGUGGGGAUGACGUCAAAUCAUCAUGCCCCUUAUGUCUUGGGCUACACACGUGCUACAAUGGUCGGUACAACGGGCAGCGAAGGAGCGAUCCCAAGCAAAUCCCAAUAAACCGAUCCCAGUUCGGAUUGCAGGCUGCAACUCGCCUGCAUGAAGUCGGAGUUGCUAGUAAUCGCGAAUCAGAACGUCGCGGUGAAUGCGUUCCCGGGUCU
rnacentral:rRNA from 1 species